rnacentral:rRNA from 1 species
UGGGGAAUAUUGCACAAUGGGCGCAAGCCUGAUGCAGCCAUGCCGCGUGUAUGAAGAAGGCCUUCGGGUUGUAAAGUACUUUCAGCGGGGAGGAAGGUGUUGAGGCUAAUAACCUCAGCAAUUGACGUUACCCGCAGAAGAAGCACCGGCUAACUCCGUGCCAGCAGCCGCGGUAAUACGGAGGGUGCAAGAGUUAAUCGGAAUUACUGGGCGUAAAGCGCACGCAGGCGGUCUGUCAAGUCGGAUGUGAAAUCCCCGGGCUCAACCUGGGAACUGCAUUCGAAACUGGCAGGUUAGAGUCUUGUAGAGGGGGGUAGAAUUCCAGGUGUAGCGGUGAAAUGCGUAGAGAUCUGGAGGAAUACCGGUGGCGAAGGCGGUCCCCUGGACAAAGACUGACGCUCAGGUGCGAAAGCGUGGGGAGCAAACA